UGGGGAAUAUUGCACAAUGGGCGCAAGCCUGAUGCAGCCAUGCCGCGUGUGUGAAGAAGGCCUUCGGGUUGUAAAGCACUUUCAGCGAGGAGGAAGGUGGUGAGCUUAAUACGCUCAUCAAUUGACGUUACUCGCAGAAGAAGCACCGGCUAACUCCGUGCCAGCAGCCGCGGUAAUACGGAGGGUGCAAGCGUUAAUCGGAAUUACUGGGCGUAAAGCGCACGCAGGCGGUUUGUUAAGUCGGAUGUGAAAUCCCCGGGCUCAACCUGGGAACUGCAUUUGAAACUGGCAAGCUAGAGUCUCGUAGAGGGGGUAGAAUUCCAGGUGUAGCGGUGAAAUGCGUAGAGAUCUGGAGGAAUACCGGUGGCGAAGGCGGCCCCCUGGACGAAGACUGACGCUCAGGUGCGAAAGCGUGGGGCAGCAAACAGGAUUAGAUACCCUGGUAGUCCACGCUGUAAACGAUGUCGAUUUUGGAGGUUGUGCCCUUGAGGCGUGGCUUCCGGAGCUAACGCGUUAAA
rnacentral:rRNA from 1 species